rnacentral:lncRNA from 1 species
CCUGGGGAAGAUCUGGGGACUGGAAAGCUGCUCUGGCUAGGGCUGCUGGCUUCCCAACCAACCUCUCCCGCUCUGAUGCACGAGCCAAGCCUACCUCUAUAUUUCGGACCAUCUUCAACCCAUUUCCACCGCAGCCAUCAAGGGGGAUCCCCAGAAGCUGUCUAGCUCCUGUGAAUACCCCUGGAUCCCUCAGUAUCUGCCUUGUGACCAUCAGGACUAACCCCAUCAUGUCCCUUAUCCCUGCUGAUGUCCAUCCCCACAAGACCUGGGGCUCUCAGGUCAUCUCUCAUCCCGGGAGACUAAUCCCCAUAUGACUUUGUCCACUUUUUCUCACCUCAUCUGGCACCCCUCCCCAUCUCCUGAAACCUUUUCACCUCCCUCUGGAACUUGAGUCAAUCAUCAGCAAAAUCCUCCUUCCCCAAAAUCUGUCUCUCCUCUGAGCGUUCCCUUCACCCCCUAACUGAAACUUGGCUCUUUUUCCUGGGGACACUGCUUCCCCUGCCGCCCUGUGCAGUGGUGGCUGGAUUCUCUCCCAUGAGGCCUGGAGGUGGGGUGGGGCUCCUCUUUCUCCUCCUUGCUGCCUCCAGCCCACGCUGGCUCAGCUUUGAUGAUCUUAUCAUCAGACCGUAACACUUAGUCUCCAGCCAUUCUUAUCACUUUUUGAUUAUUUUAAC